GACGGAGGAUGCAAGUGUUAUCCGGAAUCACUGGGCGUAAAGCGUCUGUAGGUGGUUUAAAAAAGUCUACUGUUAAAGCUUGAAGCUUAACUUCAAAAAUGCCGUAGAAACUUUUAAACUUGAGUAUGGUAGGGGUAGAGGGAAUUUCCAGUGGAGCGGUGAAAUGCGUAGAUCUUGGAAAGACCACCAAUGGCGAAGGCACUCUACUGGGCCAUGACUGACACUAAGAGACGAAAGCUAGGGGAGCAAAUGGG
rnacentral:rRNA from 1 species